CGGGCAGUAGCUCAGUGGUAGAGCUCCCGCGACGUAUGCGGGAAGACCUGGGUUCGAUUCCCGGCUGCUUAC
rnacentral:tRNA from 1 species